GACGAACGCUGGCGGCGUGCUUAACACAUGCAAGUCGAACGGAAAGGCCCUGCUUUUGUGGGGUGCUCGAGUGGCGAACGGGUGAGUAACACGUGAGUAACCUGCCCUUGACUUUGGGGUACUUCAGGAAACUGGGGCUAAUACCGGAUAGGAGCUCCUGCUGCAUGGUGGGGGUUGGAAAGUUUCGGCGGUUGGGGAUGGACUCGCGGCUUAUCAGCUUGUUGGUGGGGUAGUGGCUUACCAAGGCUUUGACGGGUAGCCGGCCUGAGAGGGUGACCGGCCACAUUGGGACUGAGAUACGGCCCAGACUCCUACGGGAGGCAGCAGUGGGGAAUAUUGCACAAUGGGCGGAAGCCUGAUGCAGCAACGCCGCGUGCGGGAUGACGGCCUUCGGGUUGUAAACCGCUUUCGCCUGUGACGAAGCGUGAGUGACGGUAAUGGGUAAAGAAGCACCGGCUAACUACGUG
rnacentral:rRNA from 1 species